rnacentral:rRNA from 1 species
AGUGAACGCUGGCGGUAGGCCUAACACAUGCAAGUCGAACGGCAGCACAGUAAGAGCUUGCUCUUACGGGUGGCGAGUGGCGGACGGGUGAGGAAUACAUCGGAAUCUACUUUUUCGUGGGGGAUAACGUAGGGAAACUUACGCUAAUACCGCAUACGACCUACGGGUGAAAGCAGGGGAUCUUCGGACCUUGCGCGAUUGAAUGAGCCGAUGUCGGAUUAGCUAGUUGGCGGGGUAAAGGCCCACCAAGGCGACGAUCCGUAGCUGGUCUGAGAGGAUGAUCAGCCACACUGGAACUGAGACACGGUCCAGACUCCUACGGGAGGCAGCAGUGGGGAAUAUUGGACAAUGGGCGCAAGCCUGAUCCAGCCAUACCGCGUGGGUGAAGAAGGCCUUCGGGUUGUAAAGCCCUUUUGUUGGGAAAGAAAAGAGCAGGUUAAUACCCCGCUGUUCUGACGGUACCCAAAGAAUAAGCACCGGCUAACUUCGUG